AUGCUGCGUGGCCACUGCUUCCCUGGCCCCUGGCACCAAGCCUGGCACGGGGGUGUGGGGUGCCAGGGGGGAACUACCCCGUUGAAGCAAAGGGCUGGGGCUUGGGUCCCCCGUUGCUGUGUCCCUGCCCAGGUCCUCCCUCCGCCGGGGCAGUUGUGGCCACGUGGCCCCGGCUUUCCAGGCUCGGCCCCUCCUUCCCUCUGUUCCUCCCUCCUCCCUCCCCCCUCCGUGGACCGGAGCCACCGCCGAGCUCGGCUCCUGCCAGGGCGGGCCUCGGCACCACCCGCUGCCAGAGAGGCUGGGGUGCAGAGCCAGCCAGCUCUCUUUGGUGGGCGCCUGCGUCGUGGGCCGGGGAACCCCUUGAUCCCCGUUCACUGCUCUGCCGGCUGGAAGCCUGUCUGCUGGCCUGCCCCACUGAGGGUGGCCCGGGACAAGGGAAGAGGAUGGUGGAGGCAAAUCCGGCAGUUGUGGACCAUCUGGGAUUGUGUAUAUGCGCGCGGGUGCCUGUGUUUUAAGCCUCGCCUGUCCCCCCUCAGGGUCUGGACGCAUCACUUGGGCAAUGGCAUCCCUCCUUUGCUCCACAAAUACCUGAUGAGUGCCUUCUGCUCCGGAUGCCAAGCAUACAGCAAGAAUGAGACAGAGACCCCCGCUCUCAGGGAGAGGGAGCCUCUACUGGGGGGAGAGGAGGAGGAGGGGACCAACAGUCCGCAUGUACACGAGGUCAGGUACUAAUAAAUGCCACAGAGGAGGAUAAAGCAGGGGUGCAAACUUUGUCAGGGGUCAAGAAAGACCUUUCUAAUGAGGUUUUAUUUGCACGGAGACCCAAAUGUCAGGAAAGGGUGAGCCACGCAGCUCCGGGCAGAGGGAAGCAUAGGUGCAAAGGCCCUGAGGCUGGAACAAGCUUGAGGUGUCUGAGACAAAAAUGCAGGAGGCGAGCGCAGUUGUAGUGAAGAGAGUGGGAGGGAUGAGGUCCUGAGGUUGAAACAGCCCAGCUGGUCUGGGGCUUGGUAAGUCCCAGUGGGGAGUUUUAUCCAAGGGGGAGGCCUGGGGAGAGCCAUUGGUUUACCGUUGCUUCUGGUUCCCUCCUAACCAAGGCAGCCUUUCUGAUCUUGGUUCUGGUUAUCGGCAUAGAGUUGUCUCUGCUGUCGUUCUUGUCCCAUAAACCUCUGGGGUCCUUUGUCUGGAGCAAAGGCCUUGGCUGGAGCCUGGGCCGCAGGGAAGCAGGAGGCAGAGGGGGUGGUGACCUUCUCUGUGGGUCAGAGUGGGCACUUUUGUGACCUGGUGCUGGGCAGCCCUGGGCAGUGACUUCCCCUCUCUGGACCUCAGCGUUUUGGUUUGGGAAGGAGAAAGGAAGAGGAACCGUGCGGAGGGCUCACUGUGGCCUGUCUGCACGCCUGGUGCCGCACGCCUGGUGCGGGCCUGGGCCAGAGUCGGCACCGAAGCAUGCGCCCGUCCCCUCCAUCCACUCGGCCACCAAGAAGGAACAGCCCGCGCUAGGUGCCGGGACCGAGCCGUAAUCAACUGAAACGUGGGUCCCGCCUGUGCCGAGCCACUGACUUAGUGGGAGACAAUAGGCACACUCAUGAGUGUGUAACCUGUUGGGUGAUGUGAAGGGCCGGGAGAGGGUAGGCGGAAUGUGCCAGGCACCGGGGGUGCGGUGAUGGGCAAGACUGGACCAAGCCCCCGCCCCCGUGGCGCGCUUGCCGCAGCCAGUGCGGAAAGUUGGUGUCGG
rnacentral:lncRNA from 1 species